GCAUAUCAAUAAGCGGAGGAAAAGAAACUCACGCGUUAUGCCUUAGAAACGGCGAGUGAGCGGCAAAAGCUCAAAUUUGAAAUCUGGCACCUUCGGUGUCCGAGUUGUAAUUUGAAGAAGGUAACUUUGGAGUUGGCUCUUGUCUAUGUUCCUUGGAACAGGACGUCACAGAGGGUGAGAAUCCCGUGCGAUGAGAUGCCCAAUUCUAUGUAAAGUGCUUUCGAAGAGUCGAGUUGUUUGGGAAUGCAGCUCUAAGUGGGUGGUAAAUUCCAUCUAAAGCUAAAUAUUGGCGAGAGACCGAUAGCGAACAAGUACAGUGAUGGAAAGAUGAAAAGAACUUUGAAAAGAGAGUGAAAAAGUACGUGAAAUUGUUGAAAGGGAAGGGCUUGAGAUCAGACUUGGUAUUUUGCGAUCCUUUCCUUCUUGGUUGGGUUCCUCGCAGCUUACUGGGCCAGCAUCGGUUUGGAUGGUAGGAUAAUGACUAAGGAAUGUGGCUCUACUUCGGUGGAGUGUUAUAGCCUUGGUUGAUACUGCCUGUCUAGACCGAGGACUGCGUCUUUGACUAGGAUGCUGGCAUAAUGAUCUUAAGCCACCCGUCUUGAAACACGGACC
rnacentral:rRNA from 1 species